rnacentral:tRNA from 1 species
GAGAAAGUAGCUCAGUUGGUAGAGCAGGUAGAAACCCAAAAUUACAGUACUGUAAUUUCGCAGCAACCAUACUUCAUCCACUUUUAAUGGCCUGGUCGUUGGUUCGAGUCCAACCUUUCUCG